GGGGACGUUCCGGAUUCGACGCGGAUUACGAAGCUCAAGGCGCAUGUCGUGAUGGCAACCAAUCACGUAAAUCCAAAGUUGCACAAAGAUAAUCGCAAACGACGAUACUUUUGGCGGCGAAGUCCGCCUGGCAGCUUAAUAAUAUAGCAGCCACUCGGAAUUAGUUGAGCCUGAGCGGCUUUUUCCGAGUCAAAUAUCAGGAUCGCAGUGAAGGUUGUCUGGGCCGGAUCUGUUAAACAAACAUUCCAGGCCAGCCAGCACGUCAGCCUGCCCUUCGGCGGAUGUGCGGUUAAAAAAAUGAAGGUGCUAAGCAUGUAGUGCCGAGAGUAGAGGAUUCGCGGACGCGGGUUCGACUCCCGCCGUCUCCACCA
rnacentral:tmRNA from 1 species